CAGCUGCCCACGUACCACUCUUUCAAAGCAAAAUCCUGCUUACCAGCCAUCAACACCAGCUUUCUGCAGUUCGGAAAUCCCAAACGACAAAGAUCCCAUGAAGUCAUUCCUGCUGGUCAGAUCCCAAUC